ensembl:snRNA U6 U6 spliceosomal RNA
ACACUUUGGCAGCACAUAUACUAAAAUUGAAAUAGUUAGAGAAGAUUAAUGUGGCUCAUGUGCAAGGAUAACAUGCAAAUUCAUGAAGCUUUCCAUAUUUUU